GGGGUAAAGGCCUACCAAGGCGACGAUCAGUAGCGGGUCUGAGAGGAUGAUCCGCCACACUGGGACUGAGACACGGCCCAGACUCCUACGGGAGGCAGCAGUGGGGAAUUUUGGACAAUGGGGGCAACCCUGAUCCAGCCAUUCCGCGUGAGUGAAGAAGGCCUUCGGGUUGUAAAGCUCUUUCAGCAGGAACGAAACGGUACGCUCUAACAUAGUGUGCUAAUGACGGUACCUGCAGAAGAAGCACCGGCUAACUACGUGCCAGCAGCCGCGGUAAUACGUAGGGUGCGAGCGUUAAUCGGAAUUACUGGGCGUAAAGCGUGCGCAGGCGGAUUGUUAAGCAAGAUGUGAAAUCCCCGGGCUUAACCUGGGAAUGGCAUUUUGAACUGGCAGUCUAGAGUGUGUCAGAGGGGGGUGGAAUUCCACGUGUAGCAGUGAAAUGCGUAGAGAUGUGGAGGAACACCAAUGGCGAAGGCAGCCCCCUGGGAUAACACUGACGCUCAUGUACGAAAGCGUGGGUAGCAAACAGGAUUAGAUACCCUGGUAGUCCACGCCCUAAACGAUGUCAACCGUUGUUGGGGGAGUGAAAUCCCUUAGUAACGAAGCUAACGCGUGAAGUUGACCGCCUGGGGAGUACGGUCGCAAGAUUAAAACUCAAAGGAAUUGACGGGGACCCGCACAAGCGGUGGAUGAUGUGGAUUAAUUCGAUGCAACGCGAAAAACCUUACCUACCCUUGACAUGUCCGGAAUCCUGAAGAGAUUUGGGAGUGCUCGAAAGAGAACCGGAACACAGGUGCUGCAUGGCUGUCGUCAGCUCGUGUCGUGAGAUGUUGGGUUAAGUCCCGCAACGAGCGCAACCCUUAUCAUUAGUUGCUACGCAAGGGCACUCUAAUGAGACUGCCGGUGACAAACCGGAGGAAGGUGGGGAUGACGUCAAGUCCUCAUGGCCCUUAUGGGUAGGGCUUCACACGUCAUACAAUGGUCGGUACAGAGGGUUGCCAAGCCGCGAGGUGGAGCCAAUCCCAGAAAGCCGAUCGUAGUCCGGAUUGUUCUCUGCAACUCGAGAGCAUGAAGUCGGAAUCGCUAGUAAUCGCGGAUCAGCAUGUCGCGGUGAAUACGUUCCCGGGUCUUGUACACACCGCCCGUCACACCAUGGGAGUGGAAUCUGGCAGAAGUAGGUAGCCUAACCGCAAGGAGGGCGCUUACCACGCUGGGUUUCAUGACUGGGGUGAA
rnacentral:rRNA from 1 species